ACACAAAAACUGCAACCCUUUUUUCUCAGCGUGUUUUGAUUUAAGUUUACAGUUAGAUGAUAACAGAGACGUGUUCAUUCCAUUUAUAAAUUACUUCAAUGCAAUAAAAUUUUCUUAGAACAUUUUUGGAAAAAAGUUCAAAAAGUAAAACGCCUAACACUAGGUUGACACUGGAGGCAGGAGUGGUGCGAAGAGGAGUCCGCGCAGUGUCCGCUCUCUCCUGUAAUUCUCAUGAGACACGCAUUGUUACGCGACGGUUGUAAGAUGCUUCUGCUAGGGCUUUUUUUUUUUUUCGCCAUCAUGGCUUUUGCAGGUGUGGCGUUCAGGGUUUGUUCCUGCCUGGAAGGAUGGGGUUUUGAAGAGUUGCACAACCCCCUCACCUCCCCCUGAAAUAUCUCAGAUAAAGGCUGCUCUACAUUAGGGAUGUUGCCAACGGCUGCAUGUCUAACAAGGCAUCGGCUCCACAACCAAGAAACCUGAUUAAAGAAGAGAGAGGAGUGAAACUAUGCUGCUGUAAAUGAGAUGAUUCCCCUGUGAUGCACACAAAACAACGCUCCUGAAGUUUCUGCCUAAUUCCGCCUCGUAAAAAGCAAAGUAAAACACAGCAGCUGA